CGGGGUGUGGCUCAGCUUGGCUAGAGCGCCUGGUUCGGGACCAGGAGGUCGCAGGUUCAAAUCCUGUCACCCCGA
rnacentral:tRNA from 1 species